UACGGAGGGAGCUAGCGUUGUUCGGAAUUACUGGGCGUAAAGCGCACGUAGGCGGCUUUGUAAGUUAGAGGUGAAAGCCUGGAGCUCAACUCCAGAAUAGCCUUUAAGACUGCAUCGCUUGAAUCCAGGAGAGGUGAGUGGAAUUCCGAGUGUAGAGGUGAAAUUCGUAGAUAUUCGGAAGAACACCAGUGGCGAAGGCGACUCGCUGGACAGGUAUUGACGCUGAGGUGCGAAAGCGUGGGGAGCAAACAGG
rnacentral:rRNA from 1 species